AGCGGAGCGUGUGGUUUAAUUCGUUUGCUUACACGAAGAACCUUACCGUGGGUUUGACAUAGCAGUGGUAGGGAAGCGAAAGCGGACCGACCUUCGGGGAGCUGUUACAGGUGUUGCAUGGCUGUCGUCAGCUCGUGUCGUGAGAUGUUCGGUUAAGUCCGCUAACGAGCGCAACCCGCGUUGUGUGUUACAAGUGUCACACAAUACCGGCCGGUAUUAAGUCGGAGGAAGGUGCGGAUGACGUCAAGUCAGCAUGACCUUUAUAUCCAGGGCUACACACACGCUACAAUGGUCGGCACAAUAGGUUGCGAAGCCGCGAGGUGGAGCCAAUCCAGCAAAACUUCCCUCAGUUCAGAUUGCAGGCUGCAACUCGCCUGCAUGAAGUUGGAGUUGCUAGUAAACGCAGGUCAGCCAUACUGCGUUGAAUACGUUCCCGGGGCUU
rnacentral:rRNA from 1 species